rfam:Schistosoma mansoni strain Puerto Rico chromosome 4, complete genome
AUCCAGCUGACGAGUCCAAAAUAGGAUGAAACGGAGUCCUGAAU